AAUGCUAAGAGAAUGGAAAUUCAGAAAAAAACUUUCUUUAAAUUAAAAAUUGAAGUUUUUUUAAUUUGUGCAGAAACAAUUAUUAAUAUUAAGGACAAGAAGACCCUACGAAUUUAUUAAAUUUUAUUUAAUAUGUAAUUACUAUUAAUAAAAUUUUGACUGGGGCGGUUAAAAAAUAUUUCAAACUUUUUAAGAAUAAAAUGACCCAUUAUUAGUGAUUUUAUGUUAAAUACUCUAGGGAUAACAGCGUAA
rnacentral:rRNA from 1 species